UGCGGAAGGAUCAUUAAUGAGUUGUAAUGGGAGUUGAUGCUGGCAGCUUGGCUGGAUGUGCUCGCUCCUAACAAUGUUCAUCUAAACACCUGUGCACAUUUAGAGAGGGGUCUCCGAGUUGUGCUUGGGGUGCCUUCCUCUGAUUACAGACUUUAUCUAAAUAUUGAACGUGAAUUGUGCCGUGAGGCCUUAAUAUUAAUACAACUUUUAACAACGGAUCUCUUGGCUCUCGCAUCGAUGAAGAACGCAGCGAAAUGCGAUAAGUAAUGUGAAUUGCAGAAUUCAGUGAAUCAUCGAAUUUUUGAACGCACCUUGCGCUCCCUGGUAUUCCGGGGAGCACGCCUGUUCGAGUGUCGUGAAAUUGUCAAACUGGGAUGCUUUUUGUGUCUCGGCUUGGUAUUGGGCUUUGCAGUUCCUUUGAUUGGGAUGGCUGGCCUGAAAAGCAUUAGACUGGCCUUUUGAUGUGGGAUUGGUUCUACU
rnacentral:misc_RNA from 1 species